UACCUCAGUAACGGCGAGUGAAGCGGUAACAGCUCAAAUUUGAAAUCUGGCUCCUUCGGAGUCCGAGUUGUAAUUUGUAGAAGAUGCUUUGGGUUGUGGGCUCGGCCUAAGUUCCUUGGAACAGGACGUCAUAGAGGGUGAGAAUCCCGUAUGUGGCCAUGGCCCGCGCCUAUGUAAAGCUCUUUCGACGAGUCGAGUUGUUUGGGAAUGCAGCUCAAAAUGGGUGGUAAAUUUCAUCUAAAGCUAAAUAUGGGCCAGAGACCGAUAGCGCACAAGUAGAGUGAUCGAAAGAUGAAAAGCACUUUGGAAAGAGAGUUAAACAGUACGUGAAAUUGUUGAAAGGGAAGCGCUUGCAACCAGACUUGGGCGCUGCCGAUCACCCCGAGUUCUCUCGGGUGCACUCGACAGCGCACAGGCCAGCAUCGGUUCGGGUGGCUGGAUAAAGGCCGUAGGAAUGUAGCUCUCUUCGGGGAGUGUUAUAGCCCACGGUGCCAUGCAGCCCAGCCGGACCGAGGACCGCGCCUUCGGGCUAGGAUGCUGGCGUAAUGGUUGUAAGCGACCC
rnacentral:rRNA from 1 species